GGCUUGUGUAUACAUUAUAUAUGUCUAUUAAGAAAAUGUCUCACUAGUGAAUGUGGUGUCAAAAAAGGCAUAAAUAAAUGCUUUGCAGCCUUUCCUGUCCCUGGAGUUUGGUAUCUUGGGUAUAGGAACUGCAUAAGUAACAGUA